rnacentral:tRNA from 1 species
UCCCGGGUGGUGUAAUUGGCAACACGUCGCGCUCUGAACGCGAAGACUCGAGGUUCGAGACCUUGCCCGGGAG